CACGUAGGGGGCAAGCGUUGUCCGGAAUUAUUGGACGUAAAGAGCUCGUAGGCGGCUCGGUAAGUCAGGUGUCAAAUCCUCAGGCUCAACCUGGGGCUCCACCUGAUACUGCUGUGGCUAGAGUCCGGUAGGGGAGCGUGGAAUUCCUGGUGUAGCGGUGAAAUGACGCAGAUAUCAGGAGGAACACCAGCGGCGAAGGCGGCGCUCUGGGCCGGAACUGACGCUGAGGAGCGAAAGCGUGGGUAGCAAACAGG
rnacentral:rRNA from 1 species